UACGUAGGGUGCGAGCGUUAAUCGGAAUUACUGGGCGUAAAGUGUGCGCAGGUGGCCGCGCAUGUCGAGUGUGAAAUCCCCGGGCUUAACUUGGGAAUUGCGCUCGAAACUACGUGGCUAGAGUGUGGCAGAGGAAGGUGGAAUUCCACGUGUAGCGGUGAAAUGCGUAGAGAUGUGGAGGAACACCGAUGGCGAAGGAAGCCUUCUGGGCCAACACUGACGCUCAUGCACGAAAGCGUGGGGAGCGAACAGG
rnacentral:rRNA from 1 species